rnacentral:rRNA from 1 species
UACGUAGGGUGCGAGCGUUAAUCGGAAUUACUGGGCGUAAAGCGUGCGCAGGCGGUCUGUUAAGACCGAUGUGAAAUCCCCGGGCUCAACCUGGGAACUGCAUUCGAAACUGGCAGGCUAGAGUCUUGUAGAGGGGGGUAGAAUUCCAGGUGUAGCGGUGAAAUGCGUAGAGAUCUGGAGGAAUACCGGUGGCGAAGGCGGCCCCCUGGACAAAGACUGACGCUCAGGUGCGAAAGCGUGGGGAGCAAACAGG